rnacentral:lncRNA from 1 species
GUUUGUGAUGAAAGCAUGGAAGGAGGAUUUGGGGAUAAAAGAUGAUGGAGUGCUGCUUUUGUCUGAUGGGAAUGGGGAUUUUACAAAGGCAAUAGGGUGUGAGUUGGAUUUGAGUGACAAGCCAGUUGGGCUAGGAGUGAGGUCAAGGAGGUAUGCGUUGUUGGCUGAAGAUGGGGUUGUCAAGGUUCUUAAUUUGGAGGAAGGUGGAGCUUUUACUUCCAGUGGAGCUGAGGAUAUGCUCAAGGCUCUCUGAAUCUUCUUUUGCUUUCGGGUUCCUCUCUUGUCAAUAAAUAAUAAAAACUUGAAUCCCUGUGCUGUGUUGUGCUCUGUUUUGAUGUGGAGAAUCCUCUGUUUCC